AGAGAGGUCAAGGGCCCCCUUAGCUCUGGAAACAGCCCGAAGCCAAAAGCCAAGAGAGAGAAGGAAGAAUCCAGAGAAGAGAGACACAGAGAGGCCACGGUGGCAGCAGAGAGAACGCAUCUAUCCUGGCAAACACAACUCACUGCCACCACUAACAGCUGCCCCAGCCUCCCAGCUCCUCUGCCCACGGCACCUGGCGCUUACCAAGGAGAGAAGCUGAGAGAGAAGGUCCCAAACAGGAGGGAGGACAGACAGAGAGGGUGAAAUGGAAGAAAAGGAGAGAGAAUGAAAGGCCAUCGGCACCCUGCACAGCAACAGAUUCCUGUCCGCCAAACAGGAGCUCCCUGAGGACUGUAGCCAGAACGCAGCACCGGGCACAUAGAAGGUGCUAGAUAAAUAUUUGCUGAAUAAGGAAUCUGUAAAGAAGAGA